UGAAGAGUAAAAAUACGUUCGUUAAGUGUUGGCUGAACGGGGAGUUGUCAGUCAGAUGAAAAGCAUGAGCUUGCGCUUCGUAUUUUGCAUCCCGCUUCA
rnacentral:ncRNA from 2 species